GUCUUAACUGUCUCUUGCAGGCAAUCAGUGAAAUUAGUAUUCCCGUGCAAAAACGAGAAUGUGACCAUAAGACGAGAAGACCCUGUGGAACUUUAAAAUUGCGAUCACCUUCUCCACCUAACACUAUCCACCGGAUUCACCCGUGAUAAACNCUUGGUCGACAUUUUUCGGUUGGGGCGACCUUGGAGAAAAACAAAUCCUCCAAAUCCAUAGACCAUCACUCUUCACCAAGAUAUACCCAUCAAAGUACAAACAGUAACCCAGACCCAAUACAAUUGAUCAAUGGACCAAGCUACCCCAGGGAUAACAGCGCAAUCUCCUCCAAGAGCCCAUAUCGACAAGGAGGUUUACGACCUCGAUGUUGGAUCAGGACAACCUAUUGAAUCCUAGCUUGAACGGGCCUAGAAAUCAACACCCUAGCCAUCAUCCCCCUCAUCUCCAAGACCCACCACCCCCGAGCAAUCGAAGCCACAAUCAAAUAUUUCCUCACCCAGUCAACUGCAUCAGCCUUAAUCUUAUUUUCAAGCUUAUCUAACGCCUGAUUUACUGGCCA
rnacentral:rRNA from 1 species